UAUGUUAAUAAUAACAAUUAGUAGGAGUGUAACAUAUAAUAUUUAUUAGUAGUAGUAAAGAAAAUUCGGUAAUGAUGGUAUUAAUUUCUUAUAGUUUGUAAUAUGUGUAUACGACUUAAGAAUAGAAGAGUAAAAAUGUUUAUGAUAGUUUUUCUGUUUUGAUCAGAAUAUCCCUAUUAUAUACAUAAUCCACUAUAUUAUUAUAUUUUAUUAAAUAUAAAUAGUAGGAUAGCUCUUCUGACCUCAUUUAAAAUCGUUUAUGACAUUGAACAUAGCAUUAGAAAAGAGAAAACAGCAUGUUUAUUUUUCUUUUGCAACAUAUAUACUAAUAUGGUCUGGUGUAUAUGAAAGUCACAAGUAGUUGGUUAACUAAAGGGAUGGAGGAUAUAUAUAUUGGAGUAUAAUAAUAAUAGUGAGAUUAUUUAUACAUAUAUAUAUGUGUGCGGAUGGUACUAUGGCGGAUCUAAUUGGUACUAAAUAAUCAUGAAAAAGACUACGUUUAUAUAUAAUAUCAUUGUUUUUUAUUUUGCAAUGGUAUUAUAUAUAAAAGGAACCUUUAUAUAUGCAUUUGUUAAAGAUGCACAUAUGAGGUGGGGAAAUACAAGCACGUGGGGUUGAAUAGGUGCAUGGGUGAGUGGAUGAAUGGGUGAAUGGAUAAAUGGGUUUGGGGGGGUACUAGGGUACAUUGAGGUACAUGUUUGCAGGAACAUGGGGGAUAUGCCCAUGGUCACAGGCAGAGGCGCAUGGGCACCGACACUGAAUCAGACAGUAUAAAUAGUGCAAAAACUGAUACAGAAAACGGCACAGGAGCAGCCAAAUAUUAUGCACUUAGGAAAAUACAGAAAAGUAUUUAAAAAUUCUAAAGUACGUUUUUAAUCAGUUGGUACUUUAGAAAUAUGUCCUAUAGGCACAGGAGCAGCCAAAAUAUUAUGCACUUAGGAAAAUACAGAAAAGUAUUUAAAAAUUCUAAAGUACGUUUUUAAUCAGUUGGUACUUUAGAAAUAUGUCCUUCUAUGGGUAGGGAAUAAGUUGUAAUUUUAAUUAUAAUUUAUUUGGGUUUUAUUAUAUGGAAACAUAUAUAUAAUAAUGAAUUGUAAAUGUAUUAUUUGUUUGUUAAUUUACAUGUUCGCAAUAAUAUUGGAAAGGAAUAAACUGCGUUUUUUUUUUUUUUUUUUUUUUGUGUGUGGUUAAUUAUUUGAAUUUUCUACAUAUAAAUACAUAUACAAUAUAUAUAUAUAUAUAUAUAUUUCAUUAUUAAGUAUAUAAUAUGACAUAUUAUAUGUAAGUUUUGUCUUAGACCAUUUGUUUUACAUUUAGGUGUUAAAGAUUAUUCAAAAGAAUUAACUAUAUUUAUCAUAAAUAUAGUUAAUUCUUUUGAUCUUCAAGUCUUCAGAACCUGGAUAUGGAUUAUAACAUUCUUUAUGUUAUAAGAAGACCGGAUUAUCUCAAGGAUCGAAGACGGGAUUAUCUUAAUAAUCGAAGAUCGGAUUAUUUUUAUAAUCCGCAUGUAUGAAGAUAAUAUAGGUAGAACAUUAUAUAAUUGUUAUUAUAAUAAUGAAAAAAUAAAAAAAAAAAGAAAAAUGAAAAAAAGAAAAGAAAAAAGGAAAAGAAAAAAGGAAAAAUGAAAAGAAAAAAUAAAAGAAAAAAUGAAAAAAAAAAUGAAAAAAAAAAAAAAAAUGAAAAAAAAUGAAAAAAAAAAUGAAAAAAAAAAUAAAAGAAAAAAUAAAAGAAAGAAAAAAAUGAAAAAAAAAAAAAAAAAAAAAUAAAAGAAAAAAAUGAAAAAAAAAAUGAAAAAAAAAAAAUAAAAGAAAAAAAUGAAAAAAAAAAAAUAAAAGAAAAAAUAAAAGAAACUUAUAUAUGUGUAUAAAUAAUUUUUAAUUUAUGCAUAUACAUUUUCAUAUACAUAAAUUAUGCUCUUCUUAUACUUUUUAUUUAUCCUUGUGUUAUAGUGUUGCAUAUACAAAAAAAAAUCAUUUGCCUAACGUAAAGAGGUGAAUAGAUGUGUUUUAUGUUUGAUUAUAUUGUAUUUUAAUUUAAGUAAAUAAUUAAAAUAUAAUAUAUAGAAUAAUGUAUGUUAAUGUGAAAUGUAGUGUAAAUAGUGAUUGUAUAGUUUUAUAUUAUGUUGUGUUUAUUUACUGUUGAAAAUUAAAAGAAAUAUAUAUAUAUGUUUGUCUAAAUAAAUAUUUUGUUAAUAUGUCGUAAGUUUAUAAUUAAAUGUGUGUUACAUGAAUAAAUAUUUUGUUAAUAAGUCUUAAGUUUAUAAUUAAAUGUGUGUUACAUGAAAAUGAAUAUUUUGUUAAUAAGUCGUAAGUUUAUAAUUAAAUGUGUGUUACAUGAAAAUGAAUAUUUUGUUAAUAAGUCGUAAGUUUAUAAUUAAAUGUGUGUUACAUGAAAAUGAAUAUUUUGUUAAUAAGUCGUAAGUUUAUAAUUAAAUGUGUGUUACAUGAAAAUGAAUAUUUUGUUAAUAAGUCGUAAGUUUAUAAUUAAAUGUGUGUUACAUGAAUAAAUAUUUUUUGAUAAGACUUAAAUUUAUAAUCAAAUGUGUGUUACGUGAAUAAAUAUUUUUUGAUAAGACUUAAAUUUAUAAUCAAAUGUGUGUUACAUGAAUAAAUAUUUUUUGAUAAGACUUAAAUAUAUAAUCAAAUGUGUGUUACGUGAAUAAAUAUUUUUUUAAUAAGACUUAAAUUUAUAAUUAAAUGUGUGUGUUACAUGAAUAAAUAUGUGCAGCUAUACAAGUAAAAAUGGCGCUAUAUUAUUAUAUUAAUAAUGAUAUAUUGAAGAUUAAAUGAAGAUAUUGCGGAGGAAGAAGGACAAGACAAAUAAAUAAAUGUAUAUAUUUCCAUAUUUAUAUGUGCAGACAUAGAUAUUGAUAUAUAUUGAAGAAGGAUAGAUUUUUGAAUAAAUGAAAAUCUAUGAAGAAAUAUAUUUGUGUAUAUAAACCUUGGAGUAUAAUAUAUUCUAUUGGUACAUGAAAAUUUAUAACUUUUUUUUUUUUUUUUUUACUUUUUUAUGUGUGAAUAUAUAUAUAUUAACAGUAAUAAUUUUAUUAUAACUCUUAAUAAGAUUUAUUAAGAAUUUUUUUUUCCUAUUACAUAUGAUAUGUUUAUUUUUAUUUUAUUCUAAUUUUUUAUUUUUUUUUUAAUUUUUUUUUUUUAUUUUUUAUAAUUAACC
rnacentral:sRNA from 1 species